GACGAACGCUGGCGGCGUGCUUAACACAUGCAAGUCGAACGAUGAAGAAAAGAAUUGAAGCUUCGGCAAAAAUUCAUUUCGGAUUAGUGGCAGACGGGUGAGUAACGCGUGAGCAACCUACCUCUUACAAAGGGAUAGCCUCGGGAAACCGGGAUUAAUACCAUAUAACAUUGCGACGAAGCAUUUCGAUGCAAUCAAAGCUACGGCGGUAAGAGAUGGGCUCGCGUCCCAUUAACCAGAUGGUGAGGUAACGGCUCACCAUAGUAACGAUGGGUAACCGGCCUGAGAGGGUGAACGGUCACACUGGAACUGAGACACGGUCCAGACUCCUACGGGAGGCAGCAGUGGGGAAUAUUGCACAAUGGAGGGAACUCUGAUGCAGCGACGCCGCGUGAGUGAUGAAGGAAUUCGUUUCGUAAAACUCUGUUCUAUGGGAAGAAAAGGACUGUACCAUAGGAGAAAGCUCCGGCUAAAUACGUG
rnacentral:rRNA from 1 species